rnacentral:miRNA from 12 species
UGCUCAGGAUGGCGCUGAUUAC